GACGAACGCUGGCGGCGUGCCUAAUACAUGCAAGUAGAACGCAGUUGCGAACGGGUGAGUAACGCGUAGGUAACUGCCUGGUAGCGGGGGGGAACUAUUGGUAACGAUAGCUACUACUGCAGCCUAACAGAUGGACCUGCGUUGUAUUAGCUAGUUGGUGGGGUAACGGCCCACCAAGGCAACGAUACAUAGCCGACCUGAGAGGGGGAGCGGACACAAUGGGACUGAGACACGGGCCAGAAUCCUACGGGAGGCAGCAGUAGGGAAUCUUCGGCAAUGGACGGAAGUCUGACCGAGCAACGCCGCGGGAGUGAAGAAGGUUUUCGGAUCGUAAAGCUCUGUUGUAAGAGAAGCGGUAUCUUACCAGAAAGGGACGGCUAACUACGUGCCAGCAGCCGCGGUAAUAC
rnacentral:rRNA from 1 species